AAGCGCUUGCAACCAGACUUGUUUUUAAUGGUUCCCUCAAUCUUUUGAUUGGGCUAUUCCAUUAUAUUCAGGCCAACAUCGGUUUUGGCGGCCGGUUAAAGGCCUUGGGAAUGUAUCUUCCUCCGGGAAGACUUAUAGCCCAGGGCGCCAUGCGGCCCGCCGGGACCGAGGAACGCGCUUCGUGCUCGGAUGUUGGCGUAAUGGUUGUCAGCGA
rnacentral:rRNA from 1 species